AACCUGUGCAGAGAGGAGUUCAGCGUGCACCCGAGACUGCAAACAGUGAGUUGUGUGAGUGUGGCACUUUACCUCUGACUUUGUAUAGAUUGUAAUUCUGCAUAUAAAGUGCCCUUACACUAUAUACAAUGUCUCAACCUACAACUCAAGAAAUACCAUUGAUUUUUGCUUAUAGUGAAAGUGAAGCAAAUAGAAUUAUACAGCAGAACAAAGGCAAUAGUUCCUUUUAACAAGUGUCUACUGAUACAACUUUAUAACGAGAGAUUGAAAGGGAGAAACGGAAAUGGAUCGGGUUGGAUCUACAUGCCAUAACCCUUACAGAAUAUUAUAAGGUCGGCAGAAUACCCAGGGGCUUACGAGUUAAUUUGCGACCAACCAUUUUCAAAGAGAAAAAACAUUUUUCACAGAAAUAUGAAAGAAUUAUCAACAAAUGCUAGUUUGACAUAAUCCUAUUGAACAUUGAAUUCUUACAGCGUGAAAUUUUGGAGUCCUCUAAACAUAUAGAAGCUAUGAGUGAUAAAUUGAAAGAAUGUUCCCCUAUAGAGACAUACAGAACACAAUUGCGACAAAUGGAAGAGAACCUGGACAAGCACAGACGGGAGAUCGAGGAGAGGAAGAGAAGCAAAUUCCGCAGAGACGAAUCCCACUACAGCUCAGGUCAGGUGUACAGCUGGCAACGGACCGAUACUGACAGGAGAGGAGCGUACAUGCAGCCACGUCGCACACGACGACGUCAUCAGCAGGAGACAUCCGAUCAGAGGCAGCGCGAUCACAGUGAGCAUGGGAGAGACCGCUCUACCGAUAGCGUGCAGUAGGAUACAUCAGCACAGGAGUCGUCAACAUCAUCUUCUUUUUUAGAAUUGGGCAACAAAAAAUACACACGAAGAAAAGGAGAGGAGGGAGACACCACAGACGCAACAUGGGACAAGCGCAGACAGCCAGAACGACAGACACGGACCCAAAAGAGACAUUAGUGAAGUAUAUUGCUCCUAUCCUGGGAAUUGCUGGUGUCCUGACAAACGUAGACAUCCAGAACUCCAGUGACAGAGCAAAUAUAUCUCAUCCAUUCAAUAAAAGAUGGAGGUUCCUUGGACUUCCAAUGCUUUGGAAUAAGUAAUUUAAAUCGAAGGUACAAAGCCUGCUUGAUCCUAGUGAAUAAGUGAUGAUUAGACCCCAAAGCUAUCAAAUAGCCUCUUAAAACACAUUUUACAGAUUCCCAUAAAUUUGAUGGCGAGAUCUCAGGUGUUUUAUUGUUUAAUAUAAUUUGUUUAAUCCAUUGUUGUAUCAACUCCUUGUUUUCUGCAUUAUGUAAUAAAAACUCAUUUAGAUGCCAAUUAAACUCUGGUUUAGUUACCCCUGGUAUUGUAUAUUUUGUUAUUACCAGUGCGUGGCCUGAUAUUAAUGAUGUGGCUAUAUAUGUUUUUUGAAAUAAGUGUACCCAUUGUUGUGAUACCAUUAUGUAAUCUUUACGUGAAUAAACCUGAUAUUGCUUUGAAUAAUAUGAGUAGUCUUUUUUU